GACAGCAGUAGCCGCGGGAAUACAGAGGGUGCGAGCGUUAAUCGGAUUUACUGGGCGUAAAGCGUGCGUAGGCGGCUUCUUAAGUCGGAUGUGAAAUCCCUGAGCUUAACUUAGGAAUUGCAUUCGAUACUGGGAAGCUAGAGUAUGGGAGAGGAUGGUAGAAUUCCAGGUGUAGCGGUGAAAUGCGUAGAGAUCUGGAGGAAUACCGAUGGCGAAGGCAGCCAUCUGGCCUAAUACUGACGCUGAGGUACGAAAGCAUGGGGAGCAAACAGGAUUAGAUACCCCGGUAGUCCCUGUCUCUUAUAC
rnacentral:rRNA from 1 species